rnacentral:misc_RNA from 1 species
GGCGGAUAGAGAGGAUUUUCAAAUAGAAAUAGGAAAUUGUUGUACAACAUCAGAUUCCAGAUUAUUACACAUAUUUGUUGUUCAAGCAAAUGUAGAAUGAAGAAAACUGUGAGUUGAACUUGACAUGGAACCUCCGAAAUUUUGUGAGCUACUCAGUCGCUCCAAUUAUCUUGGUCGAUCGCAAAAGCUUGCCCUUCCCUCCCUUCCAAUUCCUCAGUAGUGGUUCUACUUGGAGACCACACAAGAAUUUUCCUGUCAUUACCACCUGUCAAUAGUUCCUGGUCCAGUGAAUUGUACAGACAACAGUUCACAUUCUCAUAGUGGCCACGUAAAUCCAUCAUCUUUUUGCCCGACCACAAAUCAAACGCCUUAGUAGUUGACAUGCAUGGCACAAAUACAAGUGUUGAAUCAUGAGAUAUGGCUAACUGUGUAGCUUUUGUGGCCUGGAGUCGUGAUGUUU